rnacentral:rRNA from 1 species
GUCAAGUCAUCAUGCCCCUUAUGUCCAGGGCUUCACGCAUGCUACAAUGGCCGGUACAGAGGGCUGCGAUGUCGUGAGGCGGAGCGAAUCUCUUAAAGCCGGUCUCAGUUCGGAUCGGGGUCUGCAACUCGACCCCGUGAAGUCGGAGUCGCUAGUAAUCGCAGGUCAGCCAUACUGCGGUGAAUAUGUUCCUGAGCCUU